GACGAACGCUGGCGGUGUGCUUAACACAUGCAAGUCGAACGGUAAGGCCCUUUCGGGGGUACACGAGUGGCGAACGGGUGAGUAACACGUGAGUAACCUGCCCUCAUCUCUGGGAUAACAGUCGGAAACGGUUGCUAAUACUGGAUAUGAGCCUGCAAGGCAUCUUGUGGGUUGGAAAGAUUUUUUGGUUGGGGAUGGACUCGCGGCCUAUCAGCUUGUUGGUGGGGUAGUGGCUCACCAAGGCUUCGACGGGUAGCCGGCCUGGGAGGGCGACCGGCCACAUUGGGACUGAGAUACGGCCCAAGAUCCUACGGGGGGCAGGAGGGGGGAAUAUUGCAAAAUGGACGGGAGGCUGAUGGAAGAACGCCGGGGGGGGGAUGACGGCCUUCGGGUUGUAAACCGGUUUCAAUUGGGAAGGAGCUUUUUGUGGCGGUAGCAGGAAAAGAAGCACCGGCUAACUACGUG
rnacentral:rRNA from 1 species